ensembl:lncRNA
AUCACACACCACAGACAGAAUAUGCACUGAUACCCAAACAACAAGAAAGAGGUGGAUAAGAACUCUUGUCCCAGGGUAUCCUCACCCAGCUCAGCCCCUACAGCACAGCUGUUUCUAGGCAUCUCUCUGGUCCUCCCACGCCCACACUAUAAGGUGUGUGUUGUGAUCACAGGUGAGGGUCCUGAGGGUCAGAAAGCCUACGAGGCUUGCCUGGAGUCACAGAGUGGACCAGCAGCAUGGCUGGGAUCUGAGCCCCACGAGCCUGAUCCCAGAGCUCCUGCUCUCACCCCAGACACUACUCUGCUUCCUGCGACCUCAGCCAUAAUCCUCUUCUACAGCUCCUGCUUUGCUGCGCACAGUGUCAGGACUUCCAGGAAAAGCAGACUAAAUCUGCCCCUGCCACCCACACUUCAUAUGUGGCAUAAAGAAGCUGGCAAGCGGCAAGUGCAGAUUCAGAAGCUAAAUCAUCAAGAGUUACCCUUUGACUAAACCAAGUUGGCCAGCCUUGUGGCAUUUCUAGCCUCAAAAGACGGCUAUAAAUGAAGGACAAAUGGUGAGUGUGAACACAAAGGAGUCCACGAGCCACCACCCAGAACAGCCUGGCUGGGGCUCACCUUGAGCUUCUCCAAACCUCAGGGGCUGCCUGCAAGUCUCAUUGACCACGGCAGAAAACCCUGGCAAUUCUCCGCUCGCCUCCCUCCCUACCAAACACAGAAGCACUGUAGAUAAAGGCACAUGGGAGUUCACUCUACUAUGGCCAAAUUAAGAUGGAAAACUGAACUUAAACUAAAGAGAUGAGAGCUCAUUCUCAGCAGAUCUCAGAUCCAGUAUGGAAUUCUCAAUGGUCAAUGGGAAAAAGGGUUUCAUGGUAUUUCCUCAAUCGAUCAGGGGCUAGGGAGACCCCAUACCGUUUUGUGCGACUCUCAAGCCUACACCGGAGCCCCAGGCUCUUUGGCUAAAGUUAGUCGAGGCCAACUCACCGACCCUGCAUCACCACGCUUGCCACCUGCCCAGAGCUCACAGUCAAUCCAGGAGUUAAAAUCCCUGCCCAGGAUCUGAAUCAGCGUGCGAUUCAGAUAUACGAAGUCAUGAAGUGAUGAAAUGGUGAAAUUUGAAGAUACUCGACUUCAGGCCAUGCCAAACUAGUUCCUCAGCUUACAUCGUGGCUUUGCUCAUCUCCUGUCAAAAUGACGGACGUGGCAGUCUGUCACAAGGAACAUUUUUAAACAACAGAAACUUGUGUUUGUCAGUGAGCAUUCCCCAACCACCUGCCCUGAAGUAUGUGAUUGUACUGUAUCCUGGGGUUUGAGGGACAUUUUUGUCCAAAAAUCCUGGCAGUCUUCCUUCUCCCACAAGCCCCAGAAAUGAUAAGCAUGUUCUUCUUCUAAAUUAAGUUGCAAAAGGUUCUGAACUCUGAGUCUUAAGGGCUUUAUAGCAAACUCUCUUUUUCCUACUCACUAUUAAGGAAUAAUUAGACAUUACUUAUAUUUGUUUAUAUUUUAAUUAGUAACAUACUAUAUUAUACUUUUUUUAUAUUUUAUAUUAUACUCAUAUUAGUAUAUUAGUUUAUCAGACUUUUAAUGCAAGGCUUCUCUCCUUAAAUAGUCAACAUUUCAAGUCUAAAUGGGCGGUCAAGAUCCCCCAAGUUAGAAAGGGUGAACCAGCAAGAUCUGUGCACAGUCAAGCAUGGUGAACACCACCUAGAAAGUGCUACUCUCUUCAGGUGACCUGCCUCCGGAUCACAUUGAAGAUGAUUGACAGUGACAGUAUCCAAUCACAACUUUUCCCAUCUGCUUUGGGCUUGAGAAGUGGGCUUCCUCUAGGCUCUGCCAGAGGUACUUCAAAGUAACAAGGCUGAAAAUAUUAUUCUGACGUAAUACUAGCCAUAUCUAAAAUAUGAAACAAAUCUACAGCAUGCUCUGUCUAGUCCCUCGUUGUGGGAUGGGAAUACCUCAGCCUUGCUGGUCAGGCUCUCCUGGUAACUAUUUAUCAAAGGAAAGAAAGCUCUGGAACAUGACAAAUGGCAAAAGGCUCUCUCAGUCUUUCCCACCAGAAUCUUCAGGGGCUCAGCCCAGCUGAUAAGAGCACAAAGCAGAGACGACACUGCCAGCCUGCAAAGAGCUCCCAGUCUACAGGGGCGGACAGACAUCGUGCUUCUAAUUAGGCAGACUGUGACAAUGGCCAUAAUAGGGGUGUUUCCAAAGUGGCUUUCUACAGAAGAGGGGAGCAUUCAUUCUAUCUGUGGGUGUUGGGGAAGCUACUUAACACAGUUCCUGGGCUUUUGACAGUUGAAAAUGUCAGGGAAGGGAAGGCAAGGGUGUUCUGGGGAGAGGGAACUAUGUCAUCCAAUGCACCAGCAUGUAAAAAUGCCUAGCGUGUUCAGGAAAGGGCACCUGAUUUGAGGAGGGCAAGAGCAAGAUAGGACCAAGAUGCUCUGACUUUUUUGCAGGGCAAAUUUUACUUAAGUGAUUUGCCCAUUUUCUGUCCUCCUCUUUUCUUCUUCUUCUUUUUUUUUUUUCCUUCAUCUUCUCGCUCUCUCUCUUUUCACUACACAUUCGAAA